UACGUAGGUGACAAGCGUUAUCCGGAUUUAUUGGGCGUAAAGCGCACGCAGGCGGUCUAUCAAGUCUGACGUGAAAUCUCUCGGCUUAACCGGGAGCGGUCGUUGGAAACUGAUGGACUUGAGUACGGUAGGGGAGUGGGGAAUUCCUGGUGUAGCGGUGAAAUGCGCAGAUAUCAGGAGGAACACCAGUGGCGAAGGCGCCACUCUGGGCCGUAACUGACGCUGAGGAGCGAAAGCGUGGGUAGCAAACAGG
rnacentral:rRNA from 1 species